AUUGAACGCUGGCGGCAGGCCUAACACAUGCAAGUCGAGCGGGGUUUUCGGACCUAGCGGCGGACGGGUGAGUAAUGCGUAGGAAGCUGCCCGAUAGAGGGGGAUACCAGUUGGAAACGACUGUUAAUACCGCAUAAUGUCUACGGACCAAAGUGUGGGACCUUCGGGCCACAUGCUAUCGGAUGCGCCUACGUGGGAUUAGCUAGUUGGUGAGGUAAUGGCCCACCAAGGCGACGAUCUCUAGCUGGUUUGAGAGGAUGAUCAGCCACACUGGAACUGAGACACGGUCCAGACUCCUACGGGAGGCAGCAGUGGGGAAUAUUGGACAAUGGGCGCAAGCCUGAUCCAGCCAUGCCGCGUGUGUGAAGAAGGCCUUCGGGUUGUAAAGCACUUUCAGCGAGGAGGAAGGGGUGUGUGUUAAUAGUACACACCUUUGACGUUACUCGCAGAAGAAGCACCGGCUAACUCUGUGCCAGCCGCCGCCGUAAAAC
rnacentral:rRNA from 1 species